rnacentral:rRNA from 1 species
UACGGAGGGUGCAAGCGUUAAUCGGAAUCAUUGGGCGUAAAGCGCGUGUAGGCGGUCCGGUAAGUCCGCUGUGAAAGCCAGGGGCUCAACCCUUGGAUGCCGGUGGAUACUGUCGGGCUUGAGUACGGAAGAGGCGAGUGGAAUUCCUGGUGUAGCGGUGAAAUGCGCAGAUAUCAGGAGGAACACCAAUUGCGAAGGCAGCUCGCUGGGACGUUACUGACGCUGAGACGCGAAAGCGUGGGGAGCAAACAGG